GCCGCCGUAACUUAGCCUGGCCAGAGUGGGGGGCUCAUAAUCCCUUGGCGUGGGUUCAAAUCCCACCGGCGGCACCA
rnacentral:tRNA from 1 species